UACGUAGGGUGCAAGCGUUGUCCGGAAUUAUUGGGCGUAAAGAGCUCGUAGGCGGUCUGUCGCGUCGGCUGUGAAAACCCGAGGCUCAACCUCGGGCCUGCAGUCGAUACGGGCAAACUAGAGUACUGCAGGGGAGACUGGAAUUCCUGGUGUAGCGGUGAAAUGCGCAGAUAUCAGGAGGAACACCGAUGGCGAAGGCAGUGUUCUGGGCCAGUACUGACGCUGAGGAGCGAAAGCGUGGGGAGCAAACAGG
rnacentral:rRNA from 1 species